CGGAGAAAAUCGGGCUCGCUUAUAAUACAAAACCGUGUUUUACUGCACAUGAACGUCCCAUUUUAAGUCGGACAAAACUGAAAAAAAAACCUUUUUGGAUGAAUGUUUCACGGUGUGGAUAAAGCGUUGUUAUUGACACGGUCAGAAUUUAUGGUCGUUGCGUGCGCGCAAAUACAAAACGAACGGUCAAAACAGGCAUCCAGGCAAUUUUGUCGUAAAUUGCAUUCGCACAACUAGCCUUAGCCCGAAAAAUGUAUAUAUCCGUGGACAACAUUCCUUUUGGGUCCUUAAAACAAGACACAUAGUCGUAAACUCUACGCGAGACAAUUGCACCGGGUGAAUAUAUACACACAAAUAUUAUUAUUGUAUACCAGUACUGCGAUCGUGACGACGGGGUCAACCCUAUAUAGUUACCAGCAAGGCUGCUACAGUAUCAACGGUGGAGUCUGUAUUAUUACCUCGGUCGUAAAAACUCCGGACGUAUUAAACU